rnacentral:rRNA from 1 species
AUUGAACGCUGGCGGCAGGCCUAACACAUGCAAGUCGAGCGAGCGGCGGACGGGUGAGUAAUGUCUGGGAAACUGCCUGAUGGAGGUGGAUAACUACUGGAAACGGUAGCUAAUACCGCAUACCAUCAAAUGUUCCCAGAUGGGCUUAGUUAGUAGGUGGGGUAACGGCUCACCUAGGCAAAGAUCCCUAGCUGGUCUGAGAGGAUGACCAGCAACACGGGAACUGAGACACGGUCAAGACUCCUACGGGAGGCAGCAGUGGGGAAUAUUGCACAAUGGGCGCAAGCCUGAUGCAGCCAUGCCGCGGGUGUGAAGAAGGCCUUCGGGUUGUAAAGCACUUUCAGCGGGGAGGCGUUACCCGCAGAAGAAGCACCGGCUAACGCCGUGCCAGCAGCCGCGGUAAUAC